rnacentral:lncRNA from 10 species
CUGACUUGUUUCAAGGCUUCUGCUAAGACCCAAGGAACAGGAAGAGGACUUUCUUAGUCCAGCCAACUUGGAAGAACAUAGGCAGUAUGAAAAGUCAACCAAAGAGGAUGACAAGAUAACAAACAGGCUUACCCUAAAAAGAUGCAAUGUGUGCUAUGAAACUCAAGUCACUGAUAUGGAAGAAUGCAGAGCCCCACGCGGAGCUUGCCAUAGAAGCUGUAUUGGAUCUGAGGAUGACAGCUCAGCUCUGAUGCCGCUGACAUUUCCAGGAGCCUCUUUCUACAGGUGCUCACAUCCACACGUCGCCUCAUUUAUGCUCCCACCAUCACCGGUGAAAUAGAUAUUACUAUUCCCUUUAAGAAAGUUGAAGCAGGUCAUCAGAGGUCAAGUGACUGCACUCUGUUUACGCAGCUGUGAGUUCCCUCUGGAGAGGAUGUUUUGAAGGACUACGAGUCAGAAAGAAGUGCUCGCCUCGGCGGGUGGAGGGAGCCACUUCUCCCCACCCCCUGCCACCUUUGGUAACCACGUUCUUCUCUCUGUUUCUACGUAUUUGAUUUUUUAAAAUUCCACAUAUAAGACACAUCAUGCAGCAUUUUUCCUUUUGGGUCUGGCUGACUUCACUUGGCUUAAUGUGUCUCCCCAUGCUUAGAGGAAUGUGUCUCACUGUGGGUUUCCAGGGUCUGCGAGGCCUUCGUUAAGCGUUUUGGCACUAGAAGAGUCUCCCUCUCCCCCGCACCUCCCCUGUGCCAGCCUCAUACCUUUGUCUUCCAGAGCUGAGCUCAGAUGUGGCUCAGAUUUGACUCAGUUGUUCUGACAUCUCAGAUCUUCUUGAUGUUGCUGUUUAUUGGGAGGGAGUGGGAAUUAAAAUU